rnacentral:lncRNA from 1 species
UUUGACAGGUGAAAAUGAGACGAGUAAUGGUUUCAUGGAUAACACUGCAACAAGUCAACAAUUGCCAACACGCAUGCAAAAUCAUUCAGCCAUUCACCAAGAUAUAAACCAAGUAGCUACAGAACCAACUUUGUCUAAGCUUAUCACCAACACCUAAGUUCCUAGUACUAAUUAACGACAGACCCUCAUAACAAAGUAUUAACUAUUUCCUUCAAGUCGCCUUGGGCUUCUUAGGCAUCCUGUAGCCACCGACAACGCAGGCAUGGUCACGCUCGAAGGGCUCCAGGGUCACCUGCUCCGAAGGCUUGAACUGCUCAAGCUUCAGCUUCUCAACUUCGGCGGCAAACACGGCCUCAGGGGCCUGGGUGGAGUCGAUACAGUUGGCCUGGCAUAUUUGGAAGAACCAUCAGAUCAAUGCAAAUCUCUGGCAUUUCCAGGACAUCAUCUUCCAGGGCAAAUGCAAUGUUUCUUGAAUCUGGAAUCAGUACAUACCUUGAUUGAAAUGACAAAGUGACCACCAUUCUUCAAGAAGUAUGAAGCAUUAAGGGCCAAGAUCCUAGCCUGCAGGACAGAAGAUAGUUUGACAGGUUUAAGAACAUUGGCACAGUUUAGAAUCACUGAUGAAUGUUUGCAAGCAAUAUUGGAAUAUUUGUUGUUCCAGCUGAUAUCUGAACACUAAUUUUAAAAAUAGACAGCCUACAUAUAAUGUAUUUAGCUAACACAAAAGACAAUUGCAUUUCUUAAAUCUUAGUCAAUAACCAUCAGUAUGUUGUAAGAGAUGGGACGUGCAAACUAAAUGUCCCAAACAUAAUAAAUUCAGUUGACACUGCUGUUUAACCCUGCAACCUUGAAAAGGUAUACAUAUCAGUAAAGACAACACCAUAAGUAGUAACUAAAAUGAACCACCAUAUGCACAAAUCGUUCAUAGUAUUAUAGUACAGAAGGUACGCAUGCCACGGUUCUAUCAGCAAGGGGGUAGUUGCAAACCAAAGCGGAAAAGGGAGAAGCAAUUAUACUUUUAUCAAAUCUGAAAUUGUACAGUGGCAAGGUUCGACAAGCAAGCAUAAAUCAAACUUCCAAACUGAAGGUAAAAACACAAAGAAAGAACAAGUUACAGGAGGCGAAUUAUUGCAAGCCAAUGAAAUGGAAUCAAAACAAAAAUACCAUUCAAAGUGAAGUAAGAAAAUCCAAGUGUAAUCAAAAAUCAAGAAAAAAAAUGGUGAUACAAAAAAUAGGAAUUUUGGGCGUUAAGAGCAUCAGAGACUCGAUUUUGCAUCAUCCAUUGUGAUGUCCUGAAGGGGAAUCCGAGUUAGCUCAUCAUCAGCAAUUGCACCAAUACAGCCAAAGAAAACUAGGAAAGCAAUGCAAACAGAUAAACCAUAACAGCAAACAAUAAUCCAAUGUAAAUCAUUAUUACAAAAACUGAGCGGUCCUGUUCAAAUAAUUAUAAACAUAAAUAAAUGGAUAGUGCUAUUGGAUACUAUUGCAAUGGGAACAGUUUCAUGAAACAUCCAAUGUGAUGACAACAAAACGGAAGCAUAGCAAAUUCAAAAUAAAAAAUGCAGCAAAAUAACUAAGAAAUUGACUAGCAUUGGGCUUAAAAUGCAUCAGAUACUCGAUUUUGCAUCAUCCAUUGUGAUGUCCUGAAGGGGAAUCCGAGUAAGCUCAUCGUUUGCUAAGCUCCAAUGUAGCCACAGAAGGUGAUCAAACCAUAGCAGUUAAUGACAUACCACAACGGACAGGUUUACCGAAAGGCAAUGUUAAUGAGCAAAUAGUUAUUUGUGGGCAUUUAUAUGCUGACAGGUAUACCUGGUCAGGCUGUGCAACAUCAGAGAAGAUAACAUCAACCAUGCCGACCAACAUCCGGUACUUGGCAGGGUGCCUAGCAUCCUCGAUGAUGGGAAUCACAUUGGUCCUCUUCUUGGCCAUGUU